rnacentral:lncRNA from 1 species
AUGCCGCCGUGCACGGAGCAGGAGCAGAGGCCACGCGGGAGUCUGGUGUCCGGGUGGAUGCGGGGCGCGCCCCAGCUCGGAGGCGCCGACUCCCUCCCCCGCCUUGCUCACACCGUGCCUCAGUUUCCCCAUCAGUGCAGCGGACAAGACAAUGCCGAGGUCCCAGGCGGGCGGCGGGAUCUAAUUAGUGGGUGUAAAAUGAGCGGGAUCUGGCUUCUCCCGGGCACCCCGCAGCCUGCCCCGCUCUUGGUGGCUAAAGGCAGGGAGCCCCUGAGUCCAGCGCGGCUGGGGGGUCUCAGCAGUUCUGGCCGGGCCCCCUCCCGCCUUUGUGGUCCGGCCUCCGACCCCUGCACCGCAGGCGGCCCCCACGGAACGCGCGACGGGUCCCCGACCUCCCGCUGCGGACACCGGUCCCGCCGCCCGGCCCUUCCCCGCCUCCCGCGCCUCUGCCCCCGGGGAGCUCCGGACAGACCCGCCUGGGCAGCCUCGACCUCGGCCGCAGAGCGCAGCCUCGGGCCUCCACGGGCCACGCGCGCCCCAUUCCGGGCUCUCCCACGUCUGCACUCUCCAGCCCAGCCACGCCGAGGCUUCCAGAACCUGCCCUGCGGCCCCGCUUUGCUGACACCCCACCCACCGCGUGGGCUCAUCCUCACCCAACCCUGGCGGGGCCUGGGGUCCGUGCGAAGCGGCUCAGGAGAGAGACCCUGGCCCCUACUUACAGGGAAAACGGCUCCAUCCUCUUGGUGCUUCCUGCCCGCAGCGUCUCCAGCCUCGGGGUGCUGCGGCCCAGGCUCAGCUCGGUUCUCUCCAGCUUUGCCCGUCUGGCAGGUGCGGAGCAGGGGCGCGCUUAUGUUAGGUCAUCUCCCCACAACUCCCCUGGAAGAAAACGCCACCCCCAUCCCUUUCACUCUCUGCUAUACAUGGUGCCACUAUGCGCUGCCCUGUGGGUUGUGGGGCUCGCCCCCUCCGCACCCUAGUGCCCGCCCUCCCCAGUGCAGCCCAAGGAGGGCGCGCAGCUCACUUUGGGAAGCAGGUGGCUGUUAA